rnacentral:rRNA from 1 species
GUGUUGAUUACGUCCCUGCUCUUUGUACACACCGCCCGUCGCUCCUACCGAUCGAGUGUUUAGGUGAAUUUGAUGAACGUAAGGAAGUCAAAUAAACCUGAGCACUUAGAGGAAGGAGAAGUCGUAACAAGGUUUCCGUAGGUG